rnacentral:miRNA from 1 species
GACGUCGAUAUACGACGUCAUGAACACCAUCAAGUUUGGUGUUUAUUGCGUCGAUAUACGACGUCAUAAACACGAUCAAGUUUGGUUUUUAUGGCGUCGAUAUACCACCUCAUAAACACCAUCAAGUUUGGUGUUUAUACCGUCGAUAUAUGAAGUCAUAAACACCUUCAAGUUUGGUGUUUAUGACGUCGAUAUUCGACGUCACAAAACCAUCAAGUUUGGUGUUUAUGACGUCGAUAUACGAAGUC